CCUACGGGUGGCAGCAGUGAGGAAUAUUGGUCAAUGGGCGGAAGCCUGAACCAGCCAAGUCGCGUGAGGGAGUAAGGCCCUACGGGUCGUAAACCUCUUUUGCCGGGGAGCAGUGCCCAGCACGUGAGCCGGGAGGGAGCGAACCCGGAGAAAAAGCACCGGCUAACUCGGUGCCUGCAGCCGCGGUAAUACGGAGGAUGCGAGCGUUAGCCGGUUUAAUUGGGUUUAAAGGGGGCGUAGGCGGGCCUUCAGGCCGGCGGUAAAAUUGCGGGGCUCACCCCCGCCGCGCCGUCGGAACCGGGGGCCUUGAGUACCGGAGAAGUACGCGGAAUGCGUGGUGUAGCGGUGAAAUGCUUAGAUAUCACGCAGAACCCCGAUUGCGAAGGCAGCGUACCGGCCGGUCACUGACGCUGAGGCACGACAGCGCGGGUAUCGAACAGGAUUAGAUACCCGUGUAGUC
rnacentral:rRNA from 1 species